rnacentral:rRNA from 1 species
AUUGAACGCUGGCGGCAGGCCUAACACAUGCAAGUCGAGCGGUAGAGAGGAGCUUGCUUCUCUUGAGAGCGGCGGACGGGUGAGUAAUGCCUAGGAAUCUGCCUGGUAGUGGGGGAUAACGUUCGGAAACGGACGCUAAUACCGCAUACGUCCUUCGGGAGAAAGUGGGGGAUCUUCGGACCUCACGCUAUCAGAUGAGCCUAGGUCGGAUUAGCUAGUUGGUGAGGUAAAGGCUCACCAAGGCGACGAUCCGUAACUGGUCUGAGAGGAUGAACAGUCACACUGGAACUGAGACACGGUCCAGACUCCUACGGGAGGCAGCAGUGGGGAAUAUUGGACAAUGGGCGCAAGCCUGAUCCAGCCAUGCCGCGUGUGUGAAGAAGGCCUUCGGAUUGUAAAGCACUUUAAGUUGGGAGGAUGGUCAGUAGCUUAAUACGUUGCUGAUUUGACGUUACCGACAGAAUAAGCACCGGCUAACUCUGUGCCAGCAGCCGCCGCGGUAA